rnacentral:rRNA from 1 species
CCGUAGCCCAAGAGAUCGGGAUAACACCUGGAAACAGAUGCUAAUACCGGAUAACAACAGAUGAUGCCUAUCAACUGUUUAAAAGAUGGUUCUGCUAUCACUCUUGGAUGGACCUGCGGUGCAUUAGCUAGUUGGUAGGGUAACGGCCUACCAAGGCGAUGAUGCAUAGCCGAGUUGACAGACUGAUCGGCCACAUUGGGACUGAGACACGGCCCAAACUCCUACGGGAGGCAGCAGAC